rnacentral:rRNA from 1 species
AGUGAACGCUGGCGGCGUGCUUAACACAUGCAAGUCGAACGAGAACGGAUUAUAGCUUGCUAUAAUUGUCAGCUAAGUGGCGCACGGGUGAGUAAUGUAUAGGUAAUAUGCCUCUUACUAAGGGAUAACAAAUGGAAACGUUUGCUAAUACCUUAUACUCCUUAUUAACAUAAGUUAAUAAGGGAAAGAUUUAUUGGUAAGAGAUUAGCCUGUAUUGUAUCAGUUAGUUGGUGGGGUAAUGGCUUACCAAGACUAUGACACAUAACUGGUUUGAGAGGAUGAUCAGUCACACUGGAACUGGGACACGGCCCAGACUCCUACGGGAGGCAGCAGUGGGGAAUAUUGCACAAUGGACGGAAGUCUGAUGCAGCAACGCCGCGUGGAGGAUGACACAUUUCGGUGCGUAAACUCCUUUUAUAUGAGAAGAUAAUGACGGUAUUAUAUGAAUAAGCACCGGCUAACUCCGUGCCAGCAGCCGCCGUAACAC